GUGGUAGUAUGGUGCUGAACAGGCCUGAUCUCAUCCCCUCUUGAAAGCUAAGUAGGGUCAGGCCAGGUUAGUGCUUGGAUGGGAGACCACCUUGGAAUAGCAGCUGUGUUAGGCUUUGUAGGGAGAGCUGGUAGUGUGGUAGUUA
rnacentral:rRNA from 1 species